UAAUACAUGCAAGUCGAGCGGACAGAUGGGAGCUUGCUCCCUGAUGUUACGGCGGUAGGGUGAUAACACGUGGGUAACCUGCCUGUAAGACUGGGAUAACUCCGGGAAACCGGGGCUAAUACCGGAUGGUUGUUUGAACCGCAUGGUUCAGACAUAAGAGGUGGCUUCGGCUACCACUUACAGAUGGACCCGCGGCGCACUAGCUAGUUGGUGAGGUAACGGCUCACCAAGGCGACGAUGCGUAGCCGACCUGAGAGGGUGAUCGGCCACACUGGGACUGAGACACGGCCCAGACUCCUACGGGAGGCAGCAGUAGGGAAUCUUCCGCAAUGGACGAAAGUCUGACGGAGCAACGCCGCGUGAGUGAUGAAAGUUUUCGGAUCGUAAAGCUCUGUUGUUAGGGAAGAACAAGUGCCGUUCAAAUAGGGCGGCACCUUGACGGUACCUAACCAGAAAGCCACGGCUAACUA
rnacentral:rRNA from 1 species